rnacentral:misc_RNA from 1 species
CCAAACUUGGUCAUUUAGAGGAAGUAAAAGUCGUAACAAGGUUUCCGUAGGUGAACCUGCGGAAGGAUCAUUAACGAAUUGUGAGGACUUUGGCUGUCGCUGGCUUUCUACUUUGAAUGCAUGUGCACGCCGAGUUCAAAUCAACUCUUUCAACCUCCUGUGCACUUUUGUGGAUUGCAAACGGAUAAAAUCUCUCAAAGUAACAUUUGGUCUUGGGGUUUGCGCUUAACACCCGCUUUCUCCCUACAUUUCCGUCUGCAGUUCAUGUCUUUUCUACAAACUUUUAUAUAUAAACCUAGAAUGCAUAACAGUUGGGAACUUUAUGUAACCCUUCUUAAAUUUUUAUACAACUUUCAACAACGGAUCUCUUGGCUCUCGCAUCGAUGAAGAACGCAGC